UGCUAGUGCCAGGACAUCUGCUAUC
rnacentral:piRNA from 1 species